rnacentral:lncRNA from 1 species
AUGGCUGGAGAGCCCGGGCCGGGCCCUGCGCACCCGGGCCUCAAGCGGCCUCAGGGCACUGCCAGCCCCUGUACGAGUGAUUAUGACCUGGACCAUAAGCUGUACAGGGAAAAUGUCCCCUACAGUAGGGUGUAUGAAUACCAAAGGAUCCCUCCACUCAUCAACCGCGUGCCUGUCAGGAUCCGGAGGACCCAGGUGGGCAUGGGGGUCAAAAGCAGCUUCCGUCUUCACACGGGCCCCAGGAAGAGCCACCUGCCCCGGGAGCAAAUAAAGCUCCCGACUGAGGAGCUGCACUCCAUCAGGGGGGAGCUGAGUCAGAUCAAAGCCCAAGUGGACCGUCUAUUGGAGAAUCUGGAGCACAUGGGCCAGCAGAGGGACCAGCUUCCAACUGGGGGCCCGGGACACACUCCCAGGUCAGAGGACAGUGAAGAAAACAGAGGUCCAGAACUCCAGCAGGAGCCCCAGGGCCAGAAGGCCCAUCCAGAAGCAGACAGCUCUGAGGACAGCACAGACCCAAAGGAGGCAGUGAGUGGCCUGGCACCUCCCCCAUCCUCACCCUCCUUGCGUUUGGGUCCUUGUGGCUUCCCUGUGAACAAGGGAGAGACUCAGGUUUGUGCAGGAGCCCACAGUGGUGGCUGAGGGGACACAGGACUUCUGCCACAUGCAAUUCCCAGAAGAUGGCCCUGCACUGCUUUUUAUUCCCUCUCAUCUCGGGCUUGACGGCUCAGCUGGACUAGGGGCUAGUUCUGGGCUGAAAUACAAUCAUGUCCUGGAAGCUGGGAGGCGGGCUUUGAGCACUGCAGAAUGUCACAGGUGUGCCUCAUGGUCCCAGACCCCUUGCCAGAGGCCCCAGAAUCGGUUAAAACUGGCCUUUUUCCUGGCCCUGCUCCCACACAUUGUGGUGUACCAUGCUCCCCAGGGAAGCUGGAGCUCAUGGACCUUCCUGGACGGAAAACAUCCAAACCAGGAUGUGAUGGUCUGAUGAUAGCCCUUUGGGUAGCAUUCAAGGGCCCCAGUGUUCCCUGCCCUACCACAUUCUCCUCCCUUCUUGAUAAUCCGUGAGGUGGGCCAAGCCCCAUGUGUUUGGGCCACCUCUGCAAGGUCCAGGAUGCUGAGGGGCUGGCAGGAACAAGCUUCCCUUCCUCCACCUGUCUGGCUCCGCCCCCUGGACUGCUGGGCUCCGCAAAGUCCUUACUGCUGUCCAGGCCUGAGUCACAUCUGGGAAAAUAUUGGGCUGGAUGAAGGGACUGCUUUGGUGGUUCUGGGUUCCCAGGCCUCAGGAAGAAUCUAGAGUAGCACUGAGCGGCAAACCUGCCGAGAAAGAGACACGGGGUUGAGGGGAGAUGUUGGCAGACAGGCUUCCCUUUCCUAGCCAUGCCAUGCCUCUCGGCCCUCCUGGCCAGAGUCCUGUUUCUCUAUUUCCUACAGGUGAAGAAUCCUGCAUCGGACCAGGAGGGCAGCCAGUAGAAUGGUGGAACCCCUCUGGGCUCCUUCCUGGAUGGCUCCCUUCCUUGCCUCGUGUGGGUUUUUGAAGGCCUCCUGGAGGUGCCUGUGCAGCCCGAAGCCACCCUUCUGGAAGGAGUGCAGUGAAGUGGGGGCCUGGCUCAGCCAAACUAGCCAUGAAGCUUCUCCGUAAUGGUGGCUUUUGGAGGUCACGUUUUCCGAUGAUACGGGCUGAGGGUGGCCUGCAGCUGCCUAGCAUAAGCCUCCCAUCCUCAUGAAGCUGAGGCCGUCUUGCAAGGGGCCCCAGGUCCCCCUGGGUACACAUCAGCCCCCAGUGACCACAGGUACCGUAGUGGCUGCUCCCCACUCCGAAGGGCCCUGCCAGUUCUGAGUAGGCAGCCAGCACAGUUCCCUCCAGCCACAGUGGCAUACCGGAAACCCUCAUGUUCCUACGGUCCCCCUUCCAGUCUGCACCUGGGCUUUCAGCUCCUCAGUGUGCCCCACAUAAUCCCCUUUGGUUCCAGACUCCCCAUCCACCCUGUAAAGCCAUCCUUCAGAAUAGGGACAUCAUUUUUAUGUUCUGCUCCUGUCUAGUCUCUUGCUAGUGUGAUACUAUGUGUUUCAGAUCUGCUCUGGAAAUAGUAUUGUAUCAAAAGGGAGAAAAUGCACAACAUUUUCCCCCCUUUUGGGGGUCAGGGGUUCUUGGUAGGGUCAUCAAGCCUCAUUCUGGUCUUUGGGCUGCCUCAGGCCAGGCCUUCCUGGAGAAGCUGAGCAGGCCCCUGCAUCACAGAAGUUCAGCAGUUCCUACUCAGCCAGGGCACAGAAGAGGGGACCAGGCUUCCCUGCCUUCUUCCAAUUCAGACCUGAGCACAAACCCACAGAGCUCAUGAGCCACAUAGGGAAGAUCCUGCUCUUGUGGUCACUCAGGCCAGUUCUCCAUAUGGAAUGAUGGCCAGGCCACAUCUGACUUCCCAACAACCAGCAGCUCUUACUCCUGGAAGUUCAUCUGCCCUUUCCCAGGAGGCAAGACUGGACCAGGGGCACCAAAUAAUAAAGCCAACCUGGUGCAGCACCUGGGCUCAGUCGGUUAGGCAUCAGAUUCUGAUUUUGGCUCAGGUCAUGAUCUCAGGAUCAUGAGAUCAAGCCCAGCAUCAGGCUCUGCGCUCAACAUGGAGUCUGUGUGGAAUUUUCUCUCUUCUUCCCCACUGUCAACCCCCUUGCAUGCCUCUAAAUUAAAAAAAAAAAAAAAAGGCAGCCUGGACCCCUACUUCUUAGCAGCAGUGGGGGAGGCCUCUAGCUUCCACCCAGAGCCAAACCCCUUCCACCUACCCAAACCUGAGCUGUGGUCUUGCCCAGCACCAAACCAGAGGCCACAGAGUACACCCAGAGUGCUCCUGGGCCCACACAACCUUCCCUACUGUUGUCACCUUGGCAAUGGCCAACUCUGCUACUCUAGGGGCACCUUCACCUCCUUCAAAGCACAUUUCCCCACACCAACUCCUGCACCUCCUUUAGUUUCAGCCAGUCUUUUCUGCUUAUGUUGGUCUAAGGAACAGGACACAUUUAAGACAAUGCUGUCCCCAACCCCUUGACACCAGGAGUCGACUACAGGGCACAAAAGAACCUUGUUCUUUUAAAUUCACUACCGAGAUGAACCACGAUAGACUUUUCCAGAUAUAAAGGAGUUUGUUUUAGCUCAGAUGUAAAUGAGAAGGCACAGCCCCCUUGUCCAUUCUCUCAAAAGCAGCCCAAGUCUAUAGAAGGGAGUCACUAGCUGGCCUGCACAGGGUCCAUCCCUUACAACAGUUCCAAGUCCCGUCCUCCAGAUGAGUCCAGCUGAAGUCCUUCCCAACCUGGGAGGCAAGCUGCAUUCGCAAGUUUCUUCACCUGGGUCGUAGCUGGGAAGCACCUGCUCAAGUAGAAACGUUUCUUUAACAGAAGUCUCUAAAGAGCCGUCCCAACACAGCCGUCCGGCGCUGUGCACGCCCCGUCGGAUCCUCUCCCGCCCGGAGUUCUCCGCGCCGCGCAGUCUGGCAGCGGACGGCAAGGGUCCUUCGGGGGACGGGGGCAGCUCGGUCCUCGGCGUCCG